rnacentral:rRNA from 1 species
GAUGAACGCUGGCGGCGUGCCUAAUACAUGCAAGUCGAGCGAACAGACGAGGAGCUUGCUCCUCUGACGUUAGCGGCGGACGGGUGAGUAACACGUGGAUAACCUACCUAUAAUACUGGGAUAACUUCGGGAAACCGGAGCUAAUACCGGAUAAUAUAUUGAACCGCAUGGUUCAAUAGUGAAAGACGGUUUUGCUGUCACUUAUAGAUGGAUCCGCGCCGCAUUAGCUAGUUGGUAAGGUAACGGCUUACCAAGGCGACGAUGCGUAGCCGACCUGAGAGGGUGAUCGGCCACACUGGAACUGAGACACGGUCCAGACUCCUACGGGAGGCAGCAGUAGGGAAUAUUCCGCAAUGGGCGAAAGCCUGACGGAGCAACGCCGCGUGAGUGAUGAAGGUCUUCGGAUCGUAAAACUCUGUUAUUAGGGAAGAACAAAUGUGUAAGUAACUAUGCACGUCUUGACGGUACCUAAUCAGAAAGCAACGGCUAACUACGUG